GAUGAAGAACGUAGUGAAAUGUGAUACGUAGUGUGAAUUGCAGAAUUCAGUGAAUCAUCGAAUCUUUGAACGCACAUUGCACCUCUCGGUAUUCCGGGAGGUAUGCCUGUUCGAGCGUCAUUUGUACCCUCAAGCUCUGCUUGGUGUUGGGUGUUUGUUCCGCCUCUGUGUGUGAACUCGCCUCAAAACAAUUGGCAGCCGGCGUACUUGUUUCGGAGCGCAGCACAUUUUGCGAUCCAGAUCAACGUACAGCGGCAUCCAAGAAGCCUUAUUUAACGCUCUUGACCUCGGAUCAGGUAGGGAUACCCGCUGAACUUAAGCAUAUCAAUAAGCGGAGGA
rnacentral:misc_RNA from 1 species